UGAAGACUAGAACAAAAGAUUACACGUUUUAAUUUAUAUCAAUAUUUAAACAUUCAAAUUUAUCUUAAAUGUAAAAAGACAUUUAUUUAAAAGAAAGACGACAAGACCCUAUUGAACUUAACUUAAGUUUAACUGGGGCAGUUAAUUAAUUAAUAUUUUAAUAUAAUUAACUUAAAACCAAUCCAAUAUAAUUGAAUUAAUCAAGUUACCAUAGGGAUAACAGCGUAAUAAAUUUUCAAAGAUCAUAUACAAAAAUAUGUUUGCGACCUCGAUGUUGAAUUAAUAACCUAAUUGGAGCAAAGACUAAAUUAGGAAGUCUGUUCGACUUUUAAAGAAUUACAUGAUUUGAGUUCAGACCGGUGUAAGCCAGGUCGGUUUCUAUCUUCUUACAAAUUUCUUAUAGUACGAAAGGGCCCAAGAAAAUAAUUUAAUUAUUAUAUUGGCAGACAAAUGCAUUAGAAUUAGAAUCUAAUAAAACUAACAUAUCAUUUAUUUUAUCAUAUCUAAUAAUUAUUGU
rnacentral:rRNA from 1 species